GACGAACGCUGGCGGCGUGCUUAACACAUGCAAGUCGAACGGAAAGGCCCUGCUUUUGUGGGGUGCUCGAGUGGCGAACGGGUGAGUAACACGUGAGUAACCUGCCCUUGACUUUGGGAUAACUUCAGGAAACUGGGGCUAAUACCGGAUAGGAGCUCCUGCUGCAUGGUGGGGGUUGGAAAGUUUCGGCGGUUGGGGAUGGACUCGCGGCUUAUCAGCUUGUUGGUUGGGUAGUGGCUUACCAAGGCUUUGACGGGUAGCCGGCCUGAGAGGGUGACCGGCCACAUUGGGACUGAGAUACGGCCCAGACUCCUACGGGGGGCAGCAGUGGGGAAUAUUGCACAAUGGGCGGAAGCCUGAUGCAGCAACGCCGCGUGCGGGAUGACGGCCUUCGGGUUGUAAACCGCUUUCGCCUGUGACGAAGCGUGAGUGACGGUAAUGGGUAAAGAAGCACCGGCUAACUACGUG
rnacentral:rRNA from 1 species